CAUUCAUUGAAUUUGACAUGUCUGUGUGUGUGUGUGUGUGUGUGUGUGUGUGUGUGUACGUUUGGAAAAAAAAGAAAGUAGCUGGUCAUAUGUAUGUAGCAGCUACUUUCUUUUUCUUUCAAACGUACACACACACACAAACAUGUCAAAUUCAAUCAUAUAGUUAAAUAAAGUGUGUC